rnacentral:lncRNA from 1 species
CCCAUCCCUGGAGGGGUUCAAGGCCAGGCUGGAUGGGGCUUUGAGCAACCUGCUCUAGUGGGAGGUGUCCCUGCCCAUGGCAGGGGGGUUGGAACUCGAUGAUCUUUGAGGUCCCUUCCAACCCAAACCAUUCUAUGAUUCUAUGAUUCUAGGAUUUAGUUAAAAGAAAAAAAAAAAAAAAAAAAAGGUAACAGUAGGCUAAAUUUGUUGUGGUCUGAUUGUGUGGAAGUCUGUAGAGUUACACCUGGAAUGACUCUGGUGUAACUCACGUGGCCACUUUGUGACUGACAGGAGAAUUUGCCUCGUUUUGCAGGUGCGUGGAUGAACUGCAGCAUCAAAACUUUUCCCUUCCCAUUGAAAUAACAAGAAAAGUCACCUCAGGCGCUCAGACAAACUUCGGUUUCAUCAGCUGUCUUCUUUUCAUCUGCAGAGAGGAGAGUAGAGCCAUGGUUCUGGGACAGCCUGGAAGAACCUCUUCACACCUGAGGCCAGGAGAUUCCCUCAGACAGACCCGAGAAGGCUCUGGCACACAACUGUCACUGGGACCAGUACACUCACUGGGUUGUACUGGCAACGAGGGGCAGGCACCGUAGCUCGUCCUGUGAUUUCUGCAGAGAUACAGGAGGCUUCCAGAAUCAAAUAGUCACUUGUGGCUUCUCUAGCAUUCACCCCGACUUGCCGACUGCUCACCAAAGCCCCCAGUGCUCCUCACUGUCUCUCUGCAAUUUCCUGGCUAAAGGAGAUCUGGAAUGUAAAAGUGUAUUCAUCACCAGAGGUUUUGCCAGAUUCCAGGACUUCAGUGAAGCGGUAAGAGAUGGUUUAAAAUUGGAAUGGCGCGGUGAUUCCUCCGAGUUUUCAGUCAACUGUGG